UUUCCUGCCUGUAGGUUGAAUUUCACAGUCUGUUAAAUUUAGAACUUAUUUGCUGAGUUACAAUCCUGUGUUAACAAGUCGUAGUAUUGAGUGCCUAUUAGCAUAAUAAACCAUGAAGUAAUGUAGCAUGUUGCAACUGGCCACUAGUACCACAGUGUACAGUUUGGUGAAAGAAAAAAGAAUAGAAACUCAUAUAUUGUCUGGUUAUAUAAUAAUUGGUUUUGUUAAUGAUUUUUUCAUUUCAGAUACUCUUCAAGCCAUUUCAUUCAACUAGAUCUUUGUGGUCUCUACAAUCUGAGCAAAAACUGUUUUUGGGAUACUGUGUUGCAAUGCAUGUCAGGUAUCUACCCAUCCCACGGUACAUUCGAAAGAGCGACAUUGUACUGAAUUGAACGAGGAUAAUCAUGUAGCCAAUUAAGUUACCCAAGAUAUCUAAGGAAGGAACUAUUGUUGCAGAACUGCCAGAUAUCACCAGCAAGUACAUUCUCCUAGUCUACCAUCUCAGAGUGAUGGUGACACUUGGUAUCUUAUUAACCUUGAUUGGCUCCAUUCAUGCCAAACAUAUGCUGGUUGGGAUCCUAAUGAUGUUGCAGCUUGCUCUUUUCUAGAAAUACUAUGGAACUGUUGCCCCCUUGUACCCGUCUGGUAAUCUGGUUGCUUCACGUCAUAGCACAUAGAUGUCGUUGCGUUCAUGGACCAAUUCGAUCUCUUACGAGAUGGCGGCUGCAAAACCACUGCGUUACUGAUUUAUUUCGUACAAGAAACAAGGCUUAACAGUGGUUUUUACCUUUUUGGUAAGUUGAUCUCCUGUAUGCUCAACGGCUCUCGGUGUUCGUGAAGUUCCCAAUAGAUUUAAGAAGAAAAAAGUUACACUAUCAUUAAAAUUGAACACCGAUUUCGCUUAAGUUAUUGGCUUUCUCGUCAACCCACGGAAUGCCAAAUUACCCCAAAAACUUUCAACACCCCAGGGAGCACCAUUAUUUAUUUAUUUACUUUUUUUUUGCAAAUAAUCAUCAAUAAAUAGCGUCAUCUAACGAUACAAUAGGAGAAACUUGAAUUGCUAUAGAAUAUUCAUUAUAAUUUUUCUUUAAAGUUUUUUAUCGAUUUCAUCGUUUCCAAUAGACAAUCAGACGAAUUUGUGACAUUAGAACGAAGGAUUUGAUACGUGUUAAGCGGGAGCCGAUAAAUGUUCGCCUUCCAUUUUAAUCAUUCUUUUGGCUACUCGUUAAUCCACAGAAAUUUUAAAUUUUUGGUACCAAACCUGAAGGACACUUUUUCACAAAUGAAGAUUUAUUCCACAAUCUUCAGCUUCCCAGGCAGACACCCACCCACAAAACCAUGGGGUGAUGCAUGAUAUAUAAAUUUAUUAAUUAAAAAAUGUAUAUUUUAGGUUAUUGAUCAGAGUCAGAGAACAAUGUGUGGAAUCUGAUAUUCUAGUCCUGGAAACCCCAGGUGCCUUUCUGCUUCAAUUAAAGCAAUUAUAAUUUCUCGAGGUAAAGACUGAAACUAAAAACAAAGCACAGACAUUUUUUAGUUGGCUUUUCCGCUUAAUGUUAUUGUUACACUUAAGUUUUGGAAACAUAAAAAUGUAUACAAAUGUUCAGGGUCAAAUCGAUCAAAUGGUAGAGCCAAAAACGAACUUUAUGUUACCUUUGAACAGGUCCUAACUCGUGUACGCGGUUGAUGCCACACUACACGACACAGCAUCUUGCCAUUCACACGAAUGCCUUUGUCUUAUCUGAUCGUGUUGACAUGCUAAUUCGUUCUUGCCACUGACCGAAGCCUUUUUGUCAAAUUUUGCAUCUUUCCAAAAUUUAAUCACACAAGUAUUCUGGCAUGCGUCAGGCAACGGAUUACAGGAAUGGUAUGAUUCCCUUUUGGUGUUGAGCCUGGCCUACACUCUCGGUUCUUGAAAAUGUUUGUCCAUGUUAUAGCUUUGGCAUCCUGAAGGAUUUUGUUCAUCUAUUUGUUCUUGUUUUUCUUUUGAUUAGGUGUUGGAACAAGUAAUUACAUGGAGCUGGAGUGUCAAUUUGGGAACUUGAUUUGUCAUCUGUUGGUUGAGGUGGAAAAACAGGGAUUGGACCCACCAUUUUAUUUCCACACUUAUCAUUGGAAUUCUGGGAUGGUAGCUGUUGUUGCAUGACACUCUCCUUGGUUUGUUUGUAACGUUCCAGAAAGCAGCAUUCCAUGAGGCAAGAAUAUCAUUUGCCGGUCGUCAACACCAUACAGAUUGUUUAACUUUGUUUUCUUGCCUUGAUGGUGAAAUUGAAUUAUAUUGAAAUUUAAAAGUGUUUGAAUCUAUUUGCCUAGUAGUGAGAAAACAUGUAAAGAGCUGCUGCAAUGUGUCAACAGAGCAAAAUGCAAAACUUGGAUUGAA